rnacentral:rRNA from 4 species
GCGACCCCAGGUCAGGCGGGAUUACCCGCUGAGUUAA